AGCAAAUGAUGGAAAGAAUAUUUGCUAACUGAAUGGCAGUGCUGACAAGCUUUUCCACCAAGAUCUCUGAUGCC